rnacentral:rRNA from 1 species
GACGAACGCUGUCGGCGUGCUUAACACAUGCAAGUCGAACGGAGUGGCGAACGGGUGAGUAACACGUGGGUGACUGCCCUGCACUUCGGGAUAAGCCUGGGAAACUGGGUCUAAUACCGGAUAGUGGGGGAUGACUCGCGUCCUAUCAGCUUGUUGGUGGGGUAGUGGCCUACCAAGGCUACGACGGGUAGCCGGCCUGAGAGGGCGACCGGCCACAUUGGGUUGAGAUACGGCCCAAACUCCUACGGCAGGCAGCAGUGGGGAAUAUUGCACAAUGGGGGAAACCCUGAUGCAGCAACGCGCGUGCGGGAUGACGGCCUUCGGGUUGUAAACCGCUUUCAGCCAUGACGCGGUAGUGGCAGAAGAAGCACCGGCUAACUACGUGCCAGCAGCCGCGGUAAUAC